rnacentral:tRNA from 1 species
AAUCUUAUAGUCAAAACUGAUUUUAAAUUGCAAAUUUAAAGGUGAAAGAAGUUUCUAGGAUUU